rnacentral:lncRNA from 1 species
ACCACGGGCACACACAGAGGAGUCCAGUGUAGUUUGUGUGAGGGAGAGAGAGAGAGAUUGGAUUUGAGAAUGGAACUGAAAUUGUGCAUGAAUGGAAUUUGAAUUCCAAGACAAACCCCAUCUAAAUUCUCCGAAGAGGCUCUGCAAGCUGUGACGUGCUGGGCAAUUGUUCCUCCUAAUUUCCAGUGAGAAUCGCUUCCACUCGGUGUGUAUCCAGAAUGAGUAUCAGCACAGCUCAAACCUUCUAA